UCAGCUUAGUCAUAAAAUACACAAGACUAGGCUCAGGAGGAUCACCCUCCAAGAAAUCCUAGAGUAGCUUUGUUUUUUAUCUUAUGAUGUAUUUGCUCUAUACUUGUAUUUUUCUCUACAAUUGUACUCAAAUUAGCAUCAAUACAAUGAGUAGACACUUUCUUACAAAACUGUGCAAUACUUUUCUGUGUUCUGCGCUUCUUUUUGCUAUGAUGACAAAAAGGGGGAGAAAAUGUGAUGAAUUGAAAAUGUGAUGAUUUGAAAUGUAAA
rnacentral:lncRNA from 1 species